rnacentral:rRNA from 1 species
CGCGUAGGCGGCUGUACAAGUCAAAGGUGAAAUCCCUCGGCUCAACUGAGGAACUGCCUUUGAAACUGUACGGCUUGAGGCCGGGAGGGGGUAGCGGAAUUCCCAGUGUAGCGGUGAAAUGCGUAGAUAUUGGGAGGAACACCAGUGGCGAAGGCGGCUACCUGGACCGGUUCUGACGCUGAGGCGCGAAAGCGUGGGUGAAAC